UGGGCAUAUGCCCCAUUCGUCCACGCCUAGCUACGCCACUGGCUGUGAACUUAUACAAUUUCCCUUACACUAAAAUUUAGCGAACGUUGUAACGUUGAUAGACGGUUUGGUGCAACCGACCCUUAGUUUCAUAUUUAGGGCAUGUAUUUAAUCCACCGAGUUGAUUCGACUCUAGUCAAAGAAACUUAUAUAUUUCAGUCAGUCACUUCACCUUUUGUCGAAGUAAGCUUUGUGAUUGGCCAGGUCCAGGUUACGUGCAGGUACCUACAUUUGUUCGGGACCAGAGGGUGCGCGUGUGAUUCUGUCUAUUUUGCGGUUGUGUUGGUUAAACUGUUUUGGGGCUCGCUCGAAAUAAUACCUUUACCGUGGCGUUCCAUGCCUAAAGGGUCCUUAAUCAUGGAAAGCCACAAAUAUCCAUCUCAUUCUAAACAGUUAAGUGAGAGAGAAAUACUACAUUUCAGAGAGAUAGUUUUUAUGUGUUACUCGAAAAGCUAUACGAGAACUUCGAGACUUUCAAAAUAAAGCCAAAUAUUAGGUUAUGUCGUAUUCGUUGUAUAAACAUAAAUGUCAUGUACAGUCAGCUUUAGUUAUCUAUACGGAUUAAGAGCUUUAAAUUUUCUUUAAGUAUUAUAUUACCUUUUUACAUUAAUAAUUAUUUGAAUAUUCGUUUGCUAGAGAAUACUACCUUUGACGGGUUUCGUUCCAUAAAAGCGUUACUAAAAACCGGCCAAGUGCGAGUCGGACUCGCACACGAAGGGUUCCGUACCAUUAUCUAUAAAAACGGUCACCCAUCCAAGUACUGACCCCGCCCGACGUUGCUUAACUUCGGUCAAAAAUCACGUUUGUUGUAUGGGAGCCCCACUUAAAUCUUUAUUUUAUUCUGUUUUUAGUAUUUGUUGUUAUAGCGGCAACAAAAAUACAUCAUUGUGAAAAUUUCUGCUGUCUAGCUAUCACAGAUCACGAGAUACAGACUGGUGACAGACGGACGGACGGACAGCGGAGUCUUAGUAAUAGGGUCCCUUUUUACCCUUUGGGUACGGAACCCUAAAAAUGGGUCAUGUGUAGAUGUUUUUGAUCUCUUCGUCCGUAUAGACAUCUGUUGACUGUGCAAGUGAGUAGUAAAUAGCUACAUUCGCUUGUUAAGAUCAUAUGCUCAUACAUUGUCUACUGGUAUGAUAGUUAGCGGUUGGUAGUCUGUGUGUCUAUAUCUAUAGAUGUUAUGGAGAGAAAUGUACAUAGAAUGAAACGGUGGCGAGUUUAAUAGGGGCGGCGCGGACUUAGAAUAGUCCAGUCCGACUAAUAUUUUAGUUGAGUAUUAUUAAAUAAUUCUUCAAGGUUUAUGCUUUUGGAUUUUUUUAAAGCACUUUAUGUAUCAGAAAUAAGUACGGAAUAUUUUAUUGCGCUGGUGCACAAUGCUAACAAUGUAGUAAGAAAAACCUAAAAAAAAAAUAUGACGGAAAUCGUUUAUGAACGUUUUUUGGCAAAAUGCGUACACCAUAAAAAAAAAACAUAUUUCAGUAGGAUAAAACAAUGUCAACAUAUAGGUACAAAAUUGGACCUUAAUGUUUGGUACAUAGCAUGUAUGUAUGUACAACAUAUUGCCUAAAAUUAAAACAAACUUUGUACAAUAACCGCGCCGCCAAAUAAUGGAUAAUGUAAUUAAUAUAAAGUAAAUGUGCGUUUAAUUGACAUUUUGUGUCACUUCGAUAAUUUAUUUGUCCACUUAUGAAAAUUUGAGUAAAGGAUCCCUUCCAAGUUUAUGCUUUAAAUUGUGAAUCUAGUCCUUGUGUGAUUAGGUUUACGUAUAAGGUAAUGAAAUACUAUCUUUUGACAUUAUGGAAAAAUCAUACAGUUUUAUACAACGUCUUUACUCUUUAGCACGAAAUGUAAAAAAGCAUUCUUACAGUUUGCCUUACGGCAGAAACAUUGAAUUAGCUGUUAUUAAAUUCAAACCACGAACUCUAGGCGUCACAUUCGCACUAGCGAUCCUGUCACACCCUACCCUCUCCCCCAAAAUCCUCUUAAUAUACCCUCUUGGGGUUAAAUCUCCUAAUACUAGUACAAAUUACCUCCAUGAAAUUUAAAUCUUAAUUGAACGGAACAGAGUUACUUUUGUUUGACUUCUUUCGAAAACAAAACAAAUUCAACUCUAUUUUCUAAUAGCAUUGAUUCAAAUUCAAUUGCCAAUUUUCCUUGUAGGUACGUUGGGCCGCUAGAGGAUACAAUUUUCUUAGAAAACUGUGUAGCCAUAUGCUAUAAAAUAAAUCUAUCUUUUGUUAAAAAAGCAAGUGUAUUUUUCAUUGCCAUUUGCGUAAACUUAAUAACAGUUAAAAAUGUAUUUUUUUUGUAUACUUAGAGUAUAUUAUUAUAAGAUUUAGUCGUUUAGUGCGUGUACUGUUCUGUUUGUUCGUUGGCUGUUGACGCGAUUUAUUUUUUAUAUGGACCUUUUAUAGAAGGGACUGAUCGGUUCGUCUUUUGUAACAGACGCUUGACUAUAAUAAAAUAUUAUUGUAAUUGUGA